UACAGAGGUCUCAAGCGUUGUUCGGAUUCAUUGGGCGUAAAGGGUGCGUAGGCGGCGCGGUAAGUCGGGUGUGAAAUCUCGGAGCUUAACUCCGAAACUGCAUUCGAUACUGCCGUGCUUGAGGACUGGAGAGGAGACUGGAAUUUACGGUGUAGCGGUGAAAUGCGUAGAUAUCGUAAGGAAGACCAGUGGCGAAGGCGGGUCUCUGGACAGUUCCUGACGCUGAGGCGCGAAAGCUAGGGGAGCAAACAGG
rnacentral:rRNA from 1 species